AACGCGAAGAACCUUACCUACUCUUGACAUCCUGCGAACUUGGUAGAGAUACCUUGGUGCCUUCGGGAACGCAGAGACAGGUGCUGCAUGGCUGUCGUCAGCUCGUGUUGUGAAAUGUUGGGUUAAGUCCCGUAACGAGCGCAACCCUUGUCCUUAGUUGCCAUCAUUUAGUUGGGGACUCUAAGGAGACUGCCGGUGACAAACCGGAGGAAGGCGGGGACGACGUCAAGUCAUCAUGGCCCUUACGAGUAGGGCUACACACGUGCUACAAUGGCAAGUACAGAGGGCCGCGAAGCCGCGAGGUGGAGCUAAUCUCACAAAGCUUGUCGUAGUCCGGAUUGGAGUCUGCAACUCGACUCCAUGAAGUCGGAAUCGCUAGUAAUCGCAAAUCAGAAUGUUGCGGUGAAUACGUUCCCGGGUCUGUACACACCG
rnacentral:rRNA from 1 species